AGGACGAACGCUGGCGGCGUGCUUAACACAUGCAAGUCAAGGGGGCCCAGCAAUGGGCAACCGGCGAACGGGUGCGUAACACGUGGGCAACCUACCGAAAUGUGGGGGAUAGCCGGCCUAACGGCCGAGUAAUACCGCAUACGCUCUCGAUGAGGCAUUUCAUUGAGAGGAAACCUACGGGACAUUUCGAGGGGCUCGCGGCCUAUCAGCUAGUUGGCGAGGUAACGGCUCACCAAGGCAACGACGGGUAGC
rnacentral:rRNA from 1 species